rnacentral:tRNA from 1 species
GAGGGUAUAGCUCAGUGGUGGAGUGCAUGCUUAGCAUGCACGAGGUCCUGGGUUCAAUCCCUGGUACCUCCA